AUUGAACGCUGGCGGCAGGCCUAACACAUGCAAGUCGAGCGGCAGCGGGAAAGUAGCUUGCUACUUUUGCCGGCGAGCGGCGGACGGGUGAGUAAUGCCUGGGGAUCUGCCCAGUCGAGGGGGAUAACUACUGGAAACGGUAGCUAAUACCGCAUACGCCCUACGGGGGAAAGCAGGGGACCUUCGGGCCUUGCGCGAUUGGACGAACACAGGUGGGAUUAGCUAGUUGGUGAGGUAAUGGCUCACCAAGGCGACGAUCCCUAGCUGGUCUGAGAGGAUGAUCAGCCACACUGGAACUGAGACACGGUCCAGACUCCAACGGGAGGCAGCAGUGGGGAAUAUUGGACAAUGGGCGCAAGCCUGAUCCAGCCAUGCCGCGUGUGUGAAGAAGGCCUUCGGGUUGUAAAGCACUUUCAGUAGGGAGGAAGGGUGUUGUGUUAAUAGCACAGCAUUUUGACGUUACCUACAGAAGAAGCACCGGCUAACUCUGUGCCAGCAGCCGCCGUAACAC
rnacentral:rRNA from 1 species